AUCGGCUGAAGUGUCCCAAAAUAGGACGAAACAUAUGUCCAGUAU
rnacentral:hammerhead_ribozyme from 1 species